CCUACGGGGCGCAGCAGUGGGGAAUAUUGCACAAUGGGGGAAACCCUGAUGCAGCAACGCCGCGUGAGUGAAGAAGUAUUUCGGUAUGUAAAGCUCUAUCAGCAGGGAAGAAGAUGACGGUACCUGAGUAAGAAGCCCCGGCUAACUACGUGCCAGCAGCCACGGUAAUACGUAGGGGGCAAGCGUUAUCCGGAUUUACUGGGUGUAAAGGGAGCGUAGGCGGCGAUGCAAGUCAGAAGUGAAAGCCCGGGGCUCAACUCCGGGACUGCUUUUGAAACUGUAUGGCUAGAUUGCAGGAGAGGCAG
rnacentral:rRNA from 1 species